CAGCAGCCGCGGUAAUACGAAGGGUGCAAGCGUUAAUCGGAAUUACUGGGCGUAAAGCGCGCGUAGGUGGUUUGGUAAGAUGGAUGUGAAAUCCCCGGGCUCAACCUGGGAACUGCAUCCAUAACUGCCUGACUAGAGUACGGUAGAGGGUGGUGGAAUUUCCUGUGUAGCGGUGAAAUGCGUAGAUAUAGGAAGGAACACCAGUGGCGAAGGCGACCACCUGGACUGAUACUGACACUGAGGUGCGAAAGCGUGGGGAGCAAACAGGAUUAGAUACCCGCGUAGUCCCUGUCUCUUAUAC
rnacentral:rRNA from 1 species